GGACCCUCCACAGCAGGGGAUGGCUACCUGGAGGCCUAUCAGCACCUCUCAGGACACAGGAGGAUUUCAGCUCUGGUCUUCUAGAUGAUAACAGCCAGGAGGAGCUGUCUGAUGGCGAGAAUUUCAAGCCCCAGUUAAGGUGCCUCGGAAGGGGAG